GUCCUCAGGACCUGCUCCUGUUAGCAGCCACUUUCUGGACUUCUGAAGGAGCAGGGCCUUCGCCCUCUAGCACCAGCAUGCAGGGAGCCUAAGACAAGGACCUGCAUAAGGAUGCCUGCAGUUUUUUGCAAUGUGAUUUCAGGAACUAACAUAUGGAAAUGGGGGAGUGAGAUAAGAGAAAGAAGAAAAGCCAGUAAGUGGUGAGUUCUUAAAGCCAGGGUUGGCCCCUAAAACACCUCUGCAGAGACCUGGGAUGCCAGGGAGACCAAUUUAAAAGCCAGAAAUUCAAAAGUUCUAUCAAACCCAACCUGAAGAGAACUGGAGACCCAAGGCUUAGGAUCAAUGUGGAGAGGAAAAUCCAGGCUUCAAAGCUAUUCUCACUGGUAGAUAAAUGUGUAAAAGAAGAUGAAGAAGAAGGAGAAG